rnacentral:SRP_RNA from 1 species
UAUCAGUAUCCUUGGGCGGCGAAAUCUGUGAACCCCGCCAGGCCCGGAAGGGAGCAACGGUAGCAGUCAUUUUGGGUGCUUUUGGACAGCUGAUGCAG